CCACCAUCACCACCUUGGGUUUCAACAGAACCUUGUGACCUCAAUUGCCCAUGUCCUUGCUUUUUACCUUUUUUCCCUGUUAAAUCUAUUCCACCAUCUGAUAAAAUAUGUUGCCUUGCAACACCAGCCAAUGGAACAUCAAAAAAUCAUAAACACCCUUUUGAAAUCAUAAACAUCGUUCUGAAAUAUCUUGCGUGUUAACUGUUAGAUUCUCUAGAUGGUUAGAUGCCCAAUUCUGAAAAUGACAUAAAACCUCAACUAAACGAAAAGCAUUUUGAAAAAUCGCAUAAAAUCCUCAACUAUUUGAUCGAAAAGCAUAAAUUUGAAACACAGUUCUGAAAUAAAACCAAGAAAGACAGAAAUAAAAUGCAGUUUAAGACAACAAAACCCCCAAUUAUUCAUAAUAAUCUUCACAUUUUGGGAAAAUUAAAGGAGAUCCAAGAGUUUCAUAUAUUCACAUUCUAUUCUAUACAUAAAUAAAAAAAAUUCAAAGCUUGCAACCUUACUUGGAAUGAAAGAGCUAACAGAUGUCGGAUUUGAGAGAGAAGGUCAAAUUUGAGAGAGAAAAGUUUGAGAGAGAGUUGAAUUUGAGAGAGGGAGC
rnacentral:lncRNA from 1 species